AAGUCCACGGAGACAAGAGGCUCGUCGCAGACGGAGAGGAUGCCCUUCAGUUCUUUGUCGGCAGCAUCUCGGAACGCGGCAUUGACCUCCUCGGCGAAGGUCUUCUUGGAUACUUGCACAACAAGGUCGACGACCGAGACGUUAGGGGUGGGCACACGGAGGGCGAUUCCGUUGAGUUUGCCCUUGAGGGAGGGGAGAACCAGGGCGACGGCCUUCGCGGCGCCGGUGGAGGUGGGGACUAUGUUGAGCGCAGCGGCUCGCGCACGACGGAGGUCGCGGUGGCUCGCAUCAAGCAGCCUUUGGUCCCCGGUGUAGGAGUGAGUGGUGGUCAUGGUUCCCUUGAUGAUUCCUGUCAUGGGUUUGGAUGGCAGAAACCAUGUUACGUUCCCAUGCAACAAGAAAAGCUAACGAUAGCACAUCUCAUAAGUUAGCUAUUAUAUAUCAUCAUGAAAACUCAAAACAGCAAUCAUGAAUCCCACAUUUGAAACCACAUAAUAUACCCUAUGAAGAUCACAAAACACGAAGCCCAAUAUAAUUAGCACAAGCAUGAGUAGACCAUGAGAGUCGAUCAAUACUGUAUCUGUCAAUCUCAAAUGCACUACUGCAUGAAUUCGUCGAGUGACAAUUACCUAUCUUCUAUUAAGAUCUUAGAGGGCAUGAAGAAGUUCCUAUAUGACAUUUCUGAUAGACAAGAAAUAUGAACCAUGAGUCUUGUACAACUAGCAUCGUCCUAUGCUUGGUGUAGUGGCAUUAAUGGAAGCUUACCUGAUGCUCAUGCAGAAUUGAACAAAGUUUUAUAAGCUAUAAACAUAGUUAUUUGACAUCUCUUCUCCAUUCCAAUGUUCAGCGAGCUGCAAAGGGUCAAGUUUAACUUGAUAACAACAGAAAUGUAGUAAGUAAUCAGAACAUGUUCUGCAAGAUGCUUGAUUGUGUUUGUCUUUGACAGCUUUAAGAUUCGUUAUGGAGAUAUCACAAUGUCUUUUUUUGUCAUAUUGUCUUUAACUGAUGAGACCAUUGCCCACUGGAAAUGAGCCAUUUCAUUUAUCCCCUAGUGAGCAGACCUAUCUCCAUCCUUUCCUAACAUCACAACUAAGAAAUCCAUUCCUAAUCUAUACAGAAAAUUUAGGAGUGUCUUCAGAGGAAACAGUAGCUCACCUGCCCAAAAAAAAGGGGCCCCAAAAACAGUAGUGGCAUUAAGUAAUUGUAGUUCAUCAGUUAAUCUAAUAUGGGAUUUAUGGUUUCAUGUGAUGCAAUGAAUUUAAUGCUCCCGAAAGAAUGUUUUAAGAAGUUCCUCUGUACACUCAAAAUUUGAAGAGUUCAAAUUUCUAGUGUCCAUCCCCUGUAUCAUCUUUUGUGGGAAUGUGAGUGUGACAGCAGAAGGUGCAGAGCAAUGCAGAAGAAACAAAUACGCAAUAUCUUCAAGAAGCAUACAUCCAAUGGAUUCAAAAGCACAUAACCUCUCUAAAGGAACAAAUCGGUAGAAAUAUAACUACAAAGCUUCUAAUUCUUGGACCAAAGGUUGCAUCUCAUCAUAAAGAAAGGUAUGUAGCGGAAUGACGAGCAGGUUUCUUAGAAGAAGCAAAAGCAGGCUAUGCUUUAAACACGAACAGGACACCUUUCAUGAUAGAAAUGAAUUAAUGGAAGUUUUCUGUCAUUAUUAUACUACUCGAAGAAACUAAAAAGACCUCUUAUAGUUUCAACCUCGGAUCCAACUGUAAACAAAGACAUGAUGCAACUGUAAACAGAGGUCAUGGCAUCUCGUAAUAGCAGGCUAGCAGAGCAAAGAUGAAAGGCUCACCAAACUUCUGGUCAAGGAUCUUGACGAAGGGGGCGAGGCAGUUGGUGGUGCAGGAGGCGUUGCUGAUGAUGGGCUCAUCGGGGUUGUACGCAUCCUCGUUGACGCCCACCACGUAGGUGGGGAUGUCACCUUUGCCCGGGGCGGUGAUGAGCACCUUCUUGGCGC
rnacentral:lncRNA from 1 species